rnacentral:rRNA from 1 species
AUUGAACGCUGGCGGCAGGCCUAACACAUGCAAGUCGAGCGGAUGAAGGGAGCUUGCUCCUGGAUUCAGCGGCGGACGGGUGAGUAAUGCCUAGGAAUCUGCCUGGUAGUGGGGGAUAACAUCCGGAAACGGGCGCUAAUACCGCAUACGUCCUGAGGGAGAAAGUGGGGGAUCUUCGGACCUCACGCUAUCAGAUGAGCCUAGGUCGGAUUAGCUAGUUGGUGGGGUAAAGGCCUACCAAGGCGACGAUCCGUAACUGGUCUGAGAGGAUGAUCAGUCACACUGGAACUGAGACACGGUCCAGACUCCUACGGGAGGCAGCAGUGGGGAAUAUUGGACAAUGGGCGAAAGCCUGAUCCAGCCAUGCCGCGUGUGUGAAGGAGGUCUUCGGAUUGUAAAGCACUUUAAGUUGGGAGGAAGGGCAGUAAGUUAAUACCUUGCUGUUUUGACGUUACCAACAGAAUAAGCACCGGCUAACUUCGUG